rnacentral:lncRNA from 1 species
UUAGAGAGAAAUGGAGAGACAAGUUCUCACCAAUUUUCUCCAAAACAAACCCUUAAUGAUUUUUGGCUAUAAAGUCAUAUUUAUACCUUUAUUCAUUUGAGUGGCAAACUUGUAAAUAAGUCCAAGUUCACUACCCUAACCAAUAUGGCCGGCCAUUAGGAUAUUUUGGACUAAUUGGGCAUUUGUGAAUCAUUAUUCAUUAAGUUGUCAUACAACUUAUGUUAAUGGGCUUGACGUUCGAAGCC